CGGUGGAGCAUGUGGUUUAAUUCGAAGCAACGCGAAGAACCUUACCAGGUCUUGACAUCCUUUGACACUCCUAGAGAUAGGACGUUUCCCCUUCGGGGGACAGAGUGACAGGUGGUGCAUGGUUGUCGUCAGCUCGUGUCGUGAGAUGUUGGGUUAAGUCCCGCAACGAGCGCAACCCUUGAUCUUAGUUGCCAGCAUUCAGUUGGGCACUCUAAGGUGACUGCCGGUGACAAACCGGAGGAAGGUGGGGAUGACGUCAAAUCAUCAUGCCCCUUAUGACCUGGGCUACACACGUGCUACAAUGGACGGUACAAAGGGCAGCAAAACCGCGAGGUCUGAGCCAAUCCCAUAAAACCGUUCUCAGUUCGGAUUGCAGGCUGCAACUCGCCUGCAUGAAGCCGGAAUCGCUAGUAAUCGCGGAUCAGCAUGCCGCGGUGAAUACGUUCCCGGGCCUUGUACACACCGCCCGUCACACCACGAGAGUUUGUAACACCCG
rnacentral:rRNA from 1 species